rnacentral:lncRNA from 1 species
CCCCUCCAGAGAUGAAUGUUGUCGACCGCUCGCUUCUCUAGUUAUACCAACUUUAGUAACGACCGCAGGAUAGAAAUACAGAGAGCCACGCCCUCAACCAAAACGCCACUCUAUAGCCACAAAUAAUGCUCAGAACAGCACCUAACUUCAUCAACAGGACAUAUAGGGUCACAGACAUAGUACUAGACACCAAACAUCUUUUUAACUUUGACUCAUUUCUUUAGCAAAGAGACUAAACACAACUCACCUACUCUCUUCCAGCAGACGCUUGUUUGUAGUGAGACCUCAGGCCAGUCCAUUACAGACUACAGCGGGGUGCCGCAGCUCAAGGAAGAACAUUUAUGAUCAUUUCUUCAUGGAAAUACAAUCAGACCGAGACGCUAAGACAGAAGAACUACAGCGUCUGUAAAAUGAUUAAUAUGGUGAUUAUUACUUCAAGGAAAUG